rnacentral:lncRNA from 1 species
CUUUGAUCCUGCUUUACUUCCAGUCACGGUUUCAGACAUGUUUUUGUUUCUUAUUCUUUUUUUUUUUUCACAGUCCCCCUCCCUCGAGUGUAUUAGCUGUAGCCCUGGGCCUUGUUAGGCUCAUGCCAUCUGUAUAAGGCCUUUUCCAUGUCUGUCUCUCAAAGAUGUGUCAUGUUGUGUUUUAACCUCUGAUCACAGGAAAAAAAAAAAUCUGCUGACCACUGCAUGCUCAUUUGCUGUGUUAGAGGGUCCAUGGGGGGCAUCUGAUGUGCUUAUGAGUGUGAUCACAUGGAUAACUGAUGUAGUGACUCUGUUUUUCUCUCUCUCUCUCAUACAGAAAGUCUUUGUGAUAACUUCAGUAAGCACAUAUAGUGGAGCAGAUGGUGGUCCUUAUUGGAAGGAAGCCUGCUUAUGUGCCCUUUUCAGAUGAAGUACGUCUGUAAGAUUGUACCCAGAAUUCCCUAUGAAACAUCUUUCCUCCCUCCUUCAUUUUUCCUCAAGGGAUAAAAAGAUUAAUUUUAUUUACUGCCAUUUUAAGUCGUUUUUCUCUGUCUGUGAAACAAGUUAAAUUGUUUUUCUCUGUCCUCCUUGCUCCAGAUUUCACAUUUUUGGCAGAACAUCGUAAGCUAUAUGUUCAGCUCUCUUACAUAAGAAUUUACAUGUUGUAGUUUUUAGACUCAGCUCAUAAAUAUCCCUUAGAGGGCAUUUAGAUUUGCACUACAGUUAUCCAAACAUCACACAAUCAAAGAGAAAUAAAAUGCUGUUAUUUCUGGAAUAUUCAUGUCGUCGCUGUAAACUCUCUGGAGCAAUACAUUUUUAGUAUUUAGUCAUAAGCCAGUAAAAAGUAAUGCGGGCCUUCCUGUUGCUGUGCCAUAUCCUGGGCUUUAUGACACAAAUGUUAAUGUUUACCUCUUUUACUACCUUACAAUUAUGAACUCUUCUUCCUCUACAUUUAUGGUCCUCCCUUGCUCCUGUUAUAGCUUCCUCUUUGAUUUUAUAGGUAUUAAAAUAUCCAUCAAUAAUCACUGAAUUUGGCUCGACUUAAUUAUGUUAGUUCAGUGGUUUUAAAGUGUUAUUUCAUUGUUCAGUAAUCUGAUUUUAAAAGCUAUGGAAAGGCAUCCAUCCAUUCAGGAAAAGCAGAUCCAUGGUGAGAUUAAUUUAAUUCUCUAAAAAAGUGAAGGUUUACAGUGAUCCUCUUGAAUUAUAAAAUAAUACCGAAACAGUAUUUUGUACAGUAAGGGGAAAUCAAGGACAUAUCACUGAAUUAUGGAGUUUUGAGACCCGUACACCUUUUAAAUGUAUAGCUCUGUAUUUUGCAUAUGACUCUUGAUGUGAUUUUAAAAUAUGUUACUUGUGCUUGUUUUAGACUAAGCAGGGUGUGUAAGUAUAACUGUUGUGCUGGUAUAUAAAUAAACUAGUUUUUUAUUUAUUUUUGUUGGUUUGUCUUUUCUGGUUAUUGGCAUUGUGGGAGCAUGUUAUGAAAGUUAUUUGUGUGUUUUGGCCUGUGAACUAGUGUUAAUAUUGCUCUAGAAAUUAUAAGAGUUGCUAUGUGCGCAAAUAGACUGUGUUUUUAAAGGCUUAUUUUAGUCCUGUUUAGCAUUAAAACUUUUGUCUGUAUAGACAGUGAGGCCGUGACAUUUUGAAACAUCAUUGAAAAGUAAUGAAAUAUGUAGACAUGCAGUGAUGUGAAGUCUAAAAUGACUUUCUGAUUUAUUUUAUUUUUUAACGUUAGCAGGACUUUUAUGGCUGAUGCAAAUAUGGGAAAUGCUUUCAGUUCUCUUUCCCUCAAAGUGAAACUUGGUAAAUUCUUCAUUUCUUAUUUAUAAGGUUGCCGUUUUAGCAGGGCAAAUGUUACUUCUUUCACACAUGACACAUGGCUAAA